rnacentral:lncRNA from 1 species
AGAAUGCCACUCUUCAUGCGCGGCGUGCAGCGGGGCGGGGCCGCUCUCCUGCACUUCCUGUCCCGCCCCCUUGGUCCUUUUACGGUCGGGUCUCUGCGCCGCGUCCUGUGCCCGCGGGUUCUACCAGGACUCGAACAGGAUCUGUCGGGAGUGCGACCCCCAGUGCCUCACGUGCACGGCCCCAGGAGCGUGCACGUCGUGUCGAGACCCGAACAAAGUGCUGCAGUUCGGAGAGUGCCAGUACGACAGCUGCGCGCACCAGUACUACCUCAACUCCACCACCAGGACGUGUCGAGAGUGUGACUGGAGCUGUAACUCGUGCCGCGGCCCCCUGAGGACUGACUGUGUGCAGUGCAUGGAGGGACAUGUGCUUCAGGACGGACUCUGCUCGCAUCACUGCUCCCUGGGGCACUACAGGGAGGGAG